rnacentral:rRNA from 1 species
AGAACGAACGCUGGCGGCAUGCCUAACACAUGCAAGUCGAACGAGACCUUCGGGUCUAGUGGCGCACGGGUGCGUAACGCGUGGGAAUCUGCCCUUGGGUUCGGGAUAACAGUUGGAAACGACUGCUAAUACCGGAUGAUGUCUUCGGACCAAAGAUUUAUCGCCCAAGGAUGAGCCCGCGUAGGAUUAGCUUGUUGGUGAGGUAAGAGCUCACCAAGGCGACGAUCCUUAGCUGGUCUGAGAGGAUGAUCAGCCACACUGGGACUGAGACACGGCCCAGACUCCUACGGGAGGCAGCAGUGGGGAAUAUUGGACAAUGGGCGAAAGCCUGAUCCAGCAAUGCCGCGUGAGUGAUGAAGGCCUUAGGGUUGUAAAGCUCUUUUACCCGGGAUGAUAAGGACAGUACCGGAGAAGUAACGCCCGGCUAACGUCCGCGACCAGCAGCCGC